UUUGGCAUUCGAAUUCAUCCAACACAUCUUCGGCGUCAUAGAAGACACUUUUGAGCUGCCUCAGCCAUUCCUGCAGCUCAUGGUUAUGCUCCUGCUUUUGCUCAGCAUCUAACAGCACUGCCUUGACUAAUGAGAGAGUCUUUUGAAGGUCUCGGAGAUGGUCGUACAAACCCACCACCCGAGAAGCUUCUUGGAAAGAAUGAGAAGCAAGCUUUGUUAUGAGAGACUCAGCGAUGCUGAAGAUGAAUAAUUCAGCCAUCUUUUGUGUUAUCAGGAAUUCCAACACCAGAGAUCGGAAGGAAAAUUACAAGUAGUCACUGGUGAACUCUAGUUUUUGUGGCCAAUGGUUAAGGUUGUCCCCAGGAGCAAUAUCCUUUACAGCUCAUGCAAUUGACAAACAAAACACGUGGGUGGGGUACUUGACAAUCAAAAAUAAAUAUAUUUUAACAGAGAUUUAAAAGAGUGAAUUUUGAACUAAACAUGAUUCUUAAUUCAAAAAUUUGUAUUAAUUUCAUUUCACAACAUAUAUACUUGACUCAUUUGUAUUUCUAAUAAGCAAUAUCUUAUAAACAAUCAUUCUUAAACUCUUUUUUAUUUUACAAAAAUCCUUAAACUGUUAAAGCCUGGAAUAUAUUCGUCAUAGGAACUUAUCAAUUUAACCAAGGAAAAAAAUAUGUUUUAGAUUUUCAUAAAUUAGUUUUAUUUUAGAUCUUCAAUAAAAGAAUUACAUUAAAUCUAUGAUAAAGUAAAAAUUUUAUUGUUAAAUUCUUAAUAUUUUAUUUUAGUUGCUGAUAAAUUCCAUAAAUUUUAAUUUGAGUUUUUAGUAUAUUUUGUUCAUUUAAAAUAAAAUAUAAGAAAAAAAAUUUAUUUUAUUAUAAAUUUAAAAUAAACUAUUUUCAUUAAGGACUCAAAAUAAAAUUUGUUAAUUUAUUUAUGGCAUAGAUAAAUCAUAUUUUAGCUUAUGGUAAUUAGCUUUCAAAACUUACUAUCUACAGUUUGCGUGAAAGUUCCGCCUUGAAAGCAUCACCUACCUUAUCAAAGGUUGAAAAACUCCCAUUAUCCAUGAGGCCAUACAUAUGAGAAGUAUCCAGCAAAAAACUCCCAUCAACAUAGUUACAGACUCGUGAAAUUGGCCAUGAAGUUUCCACUACCGCUCAAAUGUGCUGCAAAUUUGAUAUAUACUAUACAUUGCUGCAAUUAAACGAGUUAUAUUUUAAGACAACAUUACUUUUAUUACUUCAUGUUUUAUGAUUUUUUCAUUAAUUUCUGUUUAACAACAAACAUGUCACGGUUGUUGCUUCAAUUUUCUUACUAUUCUUGGGCCUAAAUUAGUUAGUGUUUUUAAUUGAACUCUAUCAAUUAUCCAUUAGUACAUACGCAAAUUUCUAAAUAGACCAAUACAUUUUCACAAAAUACCUCAAAUAUAUUCUAAACAUAUUUUCAUGUCCAAAAUAUUAUUUUAUAAAUCUCUGGAUUAUUCACUGAUUGUUUCAUAAUUCUCUUUUCUUAAUUUCAUUUAUUAUAUUUUUCAAUUAAAUUUCUAUCUAGAUGUUAACAGAAACUAUUUUUACACUUUAGAUACUUUUUUUAAUUUUUAUUUUGAACUUCAAUUUUAUUUUCCCUUAAGUUUUAAAAACAUGAAUAUAUUACAAGAACUAAAACAGACUAACAAAUAGCCAAAUCUAAAAAUAGGAAUUUUACUAGAAUCAUUUUGAAAAUUAAAAAUAUAUUAUAAGAACAAAAAAUAUAUUUAAUCCUAUUAUUGUAGGGAUUAAAACGAAAAAAUAUAUUAAAAUAAAUUAAAUAUCAAAGACAGUAACCAAAAAGAUAAUUUUACAAGAAUCUUUUGAAAAAAAAUAUUGUAUAAGGAUUAAAACAAAAAAAAUAUUAUAGAGAACAAAUUGUAUUAUAGGUUUAUUUUUUAUAAUGUUUAGUAUAAAUAUUAUCAUACGGUAAAAAAAAUAUAUAUCUCGUCAUUUGUUCAAUAAUUAAUUUCUCUAAAGAAAUAAAACUAAGAUUAAAAUUAAUCUAAUCCAAAAAUUGUAUCAGAUGGAAUCAGAUUUAAAUUUUAAACCAAUUUAAAUUUUAAACCAAUUUGAUCAGAUGAUAAAUUUAUAAAUUCCAACUCAAACUGUAUCUUAUAUAUAUGGUUGUUACUUUUUAUUUAGGCACUCUGGAGUGACAAUAAUUUUUAAUCUAAUGAAAGAGAAAUCAACCCCAUGGUUACUAAUUUUUAUAUAUAUAUAUAUAUAUAUAUAUAUAUAUAUAUAUUUAAGUCAUUAUUUAAAUAAUCCAACACUUCAAUUAAAAUAAACAAACUAUUUCUAGUGUUUUACCCAAGGUGAUGUGGUCCUUAUUUUUUUAAUAUGUAAAAAAAGAUAGAAAAUAAAAUUAAAUAUAGAAAAUAAUGCAUAUGUUUUUAGCUUAAAAUAAUUAUCUAAAUAUAAAAAAAAUAAUGUUAAUCUAAAUAAUUGGAUAGUCUUAAUAUAAAAACUGAAGUUUAUAUUGAAAAAAAAAACUGAAGUGAAAAAAAAUCAAAAGUAUAAGUAAUUUUCAAGAUAAGAUAUAUGUUUCGUCAACUAUUAUUUUUCCUUGGGUAUACUUUUGAUAGGUAAAUAUAAUUAAAUUUUAAUGUAAACGAAUUCAUAUAUAUAUAUAUAUAUAUAUAUAUAUGUUGUGUGUGAGAGAGAAAUUAUUCCAAUACCAUUUUUUCAUUAGGCAUUCACAUUAUUAAUAAAAUAUUAUAUAUAUAUUUUUUAUUAUUAAUUUAAUAUUAUAUAAAAAAAGGAAUUGAUUAGAAUGGAGGUAAAUUAUCUCUUGAGAUGACUUUAAAUGCAAUCUUAAAAUAAUAUUGUUGAUAUCCUUUAAAAAAAUAAUGUUGAGAUGUAUUUAUGCAAAACAUGAAAAGAUUAUAAAAUAUUUUUUUAUUGGUGAAGAACUAAUAUAAAACUAUUUUGUAAUGCAAACAUAAUUUGUAAUUAUAUAAAAAAUUAUUAAAAAUAUUACAUGAGGAGGAACAAAUCCUUGUAACUAAAAGUCAUUUGUUCAGUAACUAAAAUAUGGGUAUAUUUUUUCUAUAAAAAAUUAUAUUCCCUAUAUAAAUAAAUAAUAAUUCAAUUUUAUAAUAUCAUAAAAUAUUUAAAUAUUUCAAAAAGAUGAUAAUCUUAAAAUAUUACUCAUUUCAGUAUUACUCAAAUGAUUUAUAUUUGGUAAAUUUCAUUAAUUUGUCAAAUAUAUUUUUCCAAUAGAAAUGUAGAUAAUACAUUUUCUAAAUUAUAAAAAAUACAUGUAUUUUCUGUAUAAAAAAAAUACAUGUGUUUAAAGUUAUAAACUUUCAUCACUUUAAAAAAUUGUAAAACAUCAAACUUUGUAAAUUGUUAAAAUACAAUAAGAGUAAUUCUAUUAUUCAUUAUUUGGUCUCCCCUAAAAAACAGAAUUAUUGUGUUGGCUUCAACAUUAUUCUAAUCAUUUUUUUUUUCAUUUGGACUGGAAGCUAAGUCCACCCCGUAGUCAUUUUUCUAGUAGUGGCAACCCAAUUCACCUUUAUUAAAAACUUCUGGUUUAUGUUUGUAAAAUCUCAGUCGUUCAUUCUUAAAGCACUAAAUCACACUAUUCAUAUUACUUUGUGCAAGAUACAAGGUCUAUGUUAUUCGUGCAAGGAAGAACCCGUCUAGUAUCUAGUAAGUAGACUUGAACACUCAACAAGUCAAGUAUACACAUAGGAGAUCUCACUUUCAUGUCUAUGCCGAUGAGAGUUGUUAACUGUUUGAUAAAUGUAUCAAAUGUUUAAGUAGUAAAACUUGGAAGUCCGAAUAUCGAAUUCUACAGGAAUUUUGUGUUGUACUUAUAUUGAAUAGUUUUCAAUUGAUAAGUGAAGAUAUAAUUAAAGACACGGGUAGAAGAAAGAAUAGAAAAUAAUAACAGGAAAUUAUAAGUAGUAGAAAACAAAAGAAUUUAAAGCAAGGGAAUUCAAUGGAAUGCGAAAGUUAGGACCUAGCAUGCCUUAUUUACCUAGGAUGUAUGAUUUUAUGAUUUUUCAUUAUCAAUUCAAGUGAAUUUAUCCUACUCACAUCUAUUCAUUUACUUGUCCUUGAUGCCUUACGAUGACAAACAUAUUUUAUUUAUCUAUCUCUCAAAUGCCUUUGAAAAGAUUCAAUGUUAACUCGUUGGCAAGUGUACUCGAAAGUUCGAGUGUCGAAUCCACAGGGAUUUUAUUUGUACUUAGAUUAAUGCAAACUCAGUUUAAAAGCAAUAGAUAAAGAAUUUAAGAUAAAGAUAAGAAAAUAUAGUAGAUAAGAUGAAGAUUUAAAAGAAAUGAUAAAAGAUUUAAAGAUAAAAAUAAAAGAUAGAGAAGAUAAAAUAUUUUAAAUUAAGAUAUGAUAAAGAAAAUAGAAGAUAAAAGAUAAGAUAAGAAAAGUAAAAGAUGAAAAUAGAAGAUAAAAGAAAUAAAAUCAGAAUAUGAUAAGGUUGAGACCUGGCGUGCCUGGUUUGCCUAAGAUGUAUGAGUUUAUGAAUUUUUUUUAUCAACUUAGGUGAUUCUGUUCUACCCACAUCUGUUCAAUUACUUGCCCCUGAUUCUUCAGGAUCACAAGCCUAUUUUAUUUAUCUAUCUUCCAAAUUCCUUUGCAAAGACUCAACAAAUAAAAUGCAUGAAGUAUGAAUUCUAGAUGUUUGCAAGAAUGCAUGGGCAUAAAAUAUCAUUCUAUUCCUAGCAAUAGCAAUGAUUUUCUUAUGAAAUCCUUUCUUUUUGUUCUAUUAGAAGUUAUACUCUUCUGAGCGUCUAACCUCUAAAACCAAUGCAUGCAUACCUUCUUUAAAUCUUAUUUCCAUCUCCUGAACGUCUAACCCCUAACAGAAUAUAAAGAUGAAUAAUGCAAGAUAAAAACAGAAAAAGAAAAGAUAAUAGAAUAGAAAGCACCUUGUGAAAGAAAUGGAGUAAAUGAAACCCCUGAGAGAGGGGGUCUAUGGUGUUGUCUUCUGCUUGACUUGACUCCUUUUUAUAGUUGUUGUAGUAGACUUGAGCCUGAUGCUAAAAAUCUUUCUUUUUGAUAUUUUUGAUAUCUUUUGGAUUUGUUUUGCUUGUAAUCAUAUCUUUCUGAUAUUUUGGAUAUUUUCUCGAUCUUUUUCUCUUUUAAUCUCUCCUUUUCAUAUCUGCAAGCCAUAAAUAAAAAAAAUAUCAAAUCUUAAUAUUUAAGUCAAAGAUAACUGCUAAAUAAAUAUUUUUAAAGAUAUUUUCAAUAUAUUUUUACUAUCAAAAUAACUCAUAUUUAGCAGUUAUCAUUCAACAAAUAAAAUACAUGAAACUCGAAUUCUAAAUGUUUGCUUAAAUGCAUGGACAUAAAAUUAUCAUUCUAUGUCUAACAAUGAUUUCCUUAUGAUAUCUUUUCUUUUUGUUCUAUUAGAAGUUACCCUCUGUCGAACAUCUAACCCCUACAACUAAUGCAUGCAUACCUUCUUUAAAUAUUUUUUAGAAGUUACCCUCUGUCGAGCACCUAACCCCUAAAAGAAUGUAAAGAUGAAUGCAUGAGAGAUAAAUAGAAAAUACAAUAGGAUAGAAAACAUUUGUUGUUGCAUUGAUAAAUAAUGAAGAGUACAUCUUACAUCGCUUUGACUUUUAGGCCUGCCAGACCCUAACUAGGGGUUUAACCUCUCAUGGCCAUUGAGAGCUUUACACUGGAUGGGGUAUAAGAACUGAUGGAAGAAAAUGGAUGAAAGAAUGAAAGGGAGGAAAUGGUGGAAGAGAAAAGAGAAUUUCCUAAUAGUGUGUUUGGAUGGAGAAAUUUAAUAGGGAAAUUCAUUUUUUCAAAGAAUUUAAAAUGAUUCAUGAUAAAAUAGUUUGUUUAGAUAGAGUAUUUGAAAAGAUAUUUAAUUUUUGGUAUUUUUAUGAAUCAUUUUGAUUGACAAAAACAGUGGGAUUUCAAAUUCUCUAAAAAAAAUAUAGAAUUUGAAAUUCUUUUUUUGGAGAUGAUCAUUCUAACUCGCGUUCUUGCUCGCGACUCUUUCUUGCUCAAUACUCACAACUACGAGUAACUAAAGUUUUUAGGGUUGAUAUUGACAUUAGUUGUUUUUCACUGACGUUGGCCGAUGUUUUUUCGGUCAAAAUUUUUUUGUAUGAUGUCAACCAAAACUAUUUUUUGUCGAUAUCGGCUAAGAUUUUUUUUAGAUGAUGUUAAUUAGGGUUAUUUUCUCACUGACAUCAGUCAUGGAAAAUUUUUGCUAACGUCGACCAAAGAUUUUUUUGGUCGUUGUCAUCCAGGUUUUUUCAGUUGAUGUUGAUCAAUGAUUUUUUUGGCCGACGUUAGUAGACACUUGUUAGGGUUUUUUAGCCAACAUCAGUUAGGUUUUUCCAACCAACAUCAGCCAAAGCUAUUUUUUAGCCAAUAUCGGCUAGGGUUAUAUUUUAGCCAAUGUUAGCUAGGGUGUUUUGACUUAUGUCAACUAGAUUUUCUUAGCAGACGUCAGUUAGGAUUUUUUUGCUGAUAUUGACUAGUCAGAGCUAUUUCUUAACCACAUUAGCUAGGUUUUUUGGUUGAUGUUGGCUAGGGUUUUUUCUGCUAACACUAGCUAGGUAUUUUAGACCGACAUCAGGCAUGACUAUUUUUAGUUGACAUCGACUAGGUUCGUACAGUCGACAUCCACUAUAGUUUUUUCGAUCGACAUCGAUUAGAGCUAUUUUUUAGCCAACAUCAGUCAAGGCUAUUUUAUAGCCGAUGUUGGGUAGGGUUUUUUGUCCGACAUUGGUCAGAGCUAUUUUUUAGCCAACUGCGACUAGAGAUUUUUCGGCCAACGCUGACCAAUGAUGUUUUUCAGCCGACAUCGGGUAGGUUCUAUUGGUCGGCAUCAACAAGCUAUUUUUUAGCUGAUAUUUGAUAGAUUUUUUUAUCAAUGUUUGCUAGGAAUUUUUAGGCCGACAUUGGCUAAAAAUAGUCUUGGUUAAUGUCGUUCAAAAAGACCCCAGUCGGUGUCGGCCAAACAAACCCUAGACGACGUUGGUAAAUUAUUAAAAAUUAUCAAUAUUUUGUAUUUAUAAAUUAUUAAAAAUUGAAAAAUAUUUUUUAAUUAAUAUUUCAAAAUUAGAUUGUGUUUAUUUUCUAUAAAAUUUAAUAUUAAAAUUUCAUCUAUUUAAAAUAUAAAAUUGAAAUUUUGCAUAUGGAGAAAAUUGAAUUGUCAUAUUCAAAUAAAAAAUUUAAAAUGAAAGAAAUUUAAAUUGAUUUAUCCAAACAAAACAUUUAAAAAAUGAAGGAAAUUAAAAUCAAAGUAAUUCAAAUUUUAAAAAUUUCAAAUUCCUUGAAAUUUUGAAAUUUAUGAUCCAAACACAAUGUUAAGGAUUUUUCGACUUGUGAAUUCUCUUUUGUGCAGUGGAAUUCGCUGCAUGCUUGAAUGAUGUUUUGAGUUGAUGGUGGUUGUGUUUUGUGACACUCGGGAUCGGGAUAGAUUAACAGAAUUGUGUUCUGUUUCUUGUUUCAUAGAAGUGUGUUAUGUUUAGGUUGGGUUCAGUUAUCUGUAGGAGUGGCGAGAGCAUAUCGGGAACUAUUGAUGGGUUGAUGAAGAAUGACCCAAACAUGGAUCUAGCGUGGGAAAUUAAAGCUUUGUGCAUCUCCCACCGUGUAAGAGGUUUGUCCACCAUUUGAUAUAUUAUUUAUAAAUUCAAUGGCUCGGAUAUUCUAUGGUUAACCAGUAGGAUUACUUGCAAAUUAUCCAUGUUUAAGCCAUUAAUAUUACGGAUAUUAUUAGAAGUUUCAAAUCAUAUAUUUCAUGUGGUUGGUGAACAAUUAUGCCUUUAAUACGUACACAUGCAUUUAUAAUAUAAAAUAAUUUUACAUUAUUAUUUAAUUAUAAAUUAUUAUUUAUAUGAUUUUUCAGUUAAAUAUAAUAAAAAUAAAAAAAAUCAUAAAUAAUGAUCUAUGAUGAUUGAAUGAUUAUUUUGUAUGACAAAAUGGAUCACCUAUUUUCUCAACAAUUGUCUUUUUCCAUCAUUGGCUUUCAUGAUUUUGGAGGAAUCAACGCAUCUUGUCGGCCAUUUCUUUGUCUCCCUCUAUCAGAAGAGAGUGGUAAUUACUGUGUGGAACAUUUUUCAGAGGUCAUAAGGGUUUUCUUCAUAAGGGUUUUCUCCAAGUGUCAGUAUCAUAAGGGUUUUCUUCCGAGAUUUUGUUUUUUGGUUUUGAUUCAGGAAUCUACCUACAUUGAGUUAGGGUUAGUUAGCAGUCUCAACCGUGAGAGACAGGGUACGAUUUGGAACAAUGGCGCAAAGUGGAGUUUACAAACGAGGAAAAGGUUUAGAUUGAAGCUUCAAAGGAGAGUGGCGAGGAGGUAGGAAGUGAAAGAAGUUAGGCAUGGCUGGCAGGGAAGAUUCUAACUCAGGGAUCUUUCAACAACAAGGCUUUCAUGGUAACAAUAGCGCAAAUUUGGAAGGGGUGUCAGGGUACAGAAAUCAAAGAAGCAAGAAGGAACCUUUACACUUCAAGUUUCUAAAUGAAAAGGAUCGAGCACUGGUUGAAGAAGGAGGGUCAUGGUACUUAUAAAGAAGAUUGGUGGUUCUCAAUUUUAUGAAUAUAGGAGAAAAUCCUGUGGAGAUCGAUCUUAAUCAUUGUCAUUUUGGAUUAGGGUUUAUGAUCUUCUGGUGGGUUUUAGAACAAAAGAGAUGGCAGAACGAAUUGGCAAAUCGAUGAGAAAUUUUAUCAAAUGGGAUAAGUGCAAUGAAAGUGUUAUGGGAAAAUCUUUCAGAAUAAGAGUAAGAGUGGAUAUAACUCCCACUAAAAAGGGGAAUUACUCUAAAAUUUGGAGAAAAGAUGAUAAAAAAGAUUUUGUUCAAACAUGAGAGAUUGGGAAAUCUUUGUUUCUUGUGCAAAUGCUUGGAUCAUUUGAUGAAGGAGUGACUGUGAGGAAGAGAUACGAAUGACAUUGAUCUAGAUGAUUUACCCUAUGGGACAUGGAUGAAAUCAUCUCCCAUGAGAGCAAACAUGGAGACUGGAAUUAGGAAUGAGGUAAAGAUUGGGAUCUUUAGAAGGAGGUUAUUGGAAAAUACAAGGAAAAGUGUCAGCAGGGACGAACUCUUGCAUUGUUUAAGAAGUGUUGUAGGUGUUUGAAGGAUAUAUUACUUGGACAAGGGCUCGAUUACUAGGAAAGAAAAGGAGACAAAACAGGCCAUACCACUGAUGAUGGUGAAGGUAAUUCUUGAAUCCCUAUGUCUAAGUGUGAUUACUGAUGGAAGCGAAUGUGUUGAUAAGGAAAAAGGGAAUGAAAAAACUACUAAAAAUAUAACAGGCCUUGUGAUAGAAUGGAAAAAUGAAGAUAACACGAAGUCUCUAGAAAUAAAGGAGAUCAAGAAUACGAAUAAUAAUGGUGGUAUGAAAUGGAAGAGAAGGGCUCGGGAGAAAGGAGGGGAGGGACAAAAUACUAUUAUUUGGGGGUGGGGGAAGACAAGAAAGGGAGAACAGGAGAUGGAAGUUGAAUAUUGCACGAGUCCAAAAAAAAUUCAUAGACACAACGGUGGAGGCUGUUAAACAGCCUUACUCGGAGCCAUGAAAACAUUAUGUUGGAGUUGUCGUGGGCUUAGGAACCCAUGGGCAGUAAAGGCUUUCAGAAAUCUCUUAAGUAUUGAAGGUCCCAAUAUUGUUCUUUUAAUGGAAACCACAGAGAAAAAAAAGUGUUGGAGAUGAAUGUAAUUUUGGAAUAAUAGUGUGGAGAUUGAUUACAAAGUUGGUCCAUGACUCAUAUAAGUUUUGUUGUUGAGGAUUCGGCAUAGAGUGGAAAAUUUAAAGAAACUUUGAUAUGGCUUCUCGGAAACUCCACAAAAGCAAAAUACAUGGGAGUAGAUAAAAAGUCAGAAACCUAAGAAUAUUAUUUAGGGGACUUUAAUGAAAUAUUGUGUCCAGAGGAGAAGCUUGGAAAUUUGAAUAGCAUUGACCAGUUUUGAAUACUAUGGAUAAUUUCAAUUUGACUGAUAUACAUGGUCAAUCAAAAGAAGGCUACAAGACACGGUGAAGGAAAGGCUACAUCGGGUUCUUGCUAAUGAAGAUUAGAGGGGAAUUUGGAAGAAAGAUACUCUUAGACACCUUUCUUUGACCACAACCACAACCCAAUGAAAAUAUUAUAUUAUAGACUAAAUAUAAUAAUCCUUAAAAUUAUUAAUCAAAAUUAAAAUAAAUUAUAGACUAAAUAUAUUUAAAUAACUAAUUAUUAACAAUUUACUAUACCAUUUAAGAUAAAAUUAUAAUUUUAAUCUCAAAUUUAUUUUCAGUUUUCAUGAAAGAAAAAGUGAAAGAUAAAAGGAAUAUAAUAGAAAAGUCAUGCAUCAAACAAAUGAUUCGAGUAGUAUAAUUUGAUGUGAAAUGAUAUGCUCAAAAAAGUUCAAAACAUAUUAAGAGAAUCAUGAAGAACAACAAAACACACACGAGAGAAACAAACAAAUAAAUUUGUAAUUGGAUUAGUGCUUUUGGAAUUGAUUCUAAGAUCAAUGUAAUUCUAUAGGAUUGAUUCUAACUAAGCGUAUUUUAGAAUAAUAUAAUUUUUUUUUAGAUACAUAUAUUAAAAAAAUUGAUUUUCACAAUUUAAUGAUAUAUAUUUGAAAAGUAACUAUCAAAAUUAGUUUUGAACGUAAAAUUAACAAAAUGGAUAUUAAUUAUUUGUGGGUGUCUUUUGCAUUAUAAUUUACCAAAAUGACAGUGUGUAAUAUCCCAAUUGCCUUGGUGAUUACAGGGUUAGCUAGUUAGUUAUCAAAUUAUUUUGCUUUUAUUUUAUUAACCACUAUCUUUCCUGUACGGGCAAAGAAUCAACAUUAUGAACCACGAAAUAACACUAUAGUCCUAACCAUGCAAUAUAACACUGAUAUUGUGAAUCAACAGCACCCAAUAAAAUGUUAACAGAAUAACCUUAUAAAAUGCUAAAACAACACCAAAUAUAGCAGUUCUGCAGCAAAGUAACAGUAUAAAAAUAACAGGCAGAAGUGGAGAUCACAGUAAAUAUCCGAGUAUAAAAAUAACAACAAAAUAAUAAGCACAACGUAAAAUAGGCAGUGGAAAUAAACACACGCAUGCAUUAACUUGAUGGACAAUGGAAAAACCCAACAUUGAAAUCUGAGAAUUGAUUCUCCCAUGACGCAGAAGCAGCUCCAGGGUAACUUCAAUAGUCAGAAGUGCAAGCGAGAUCAAAUUGGCAAUCUCACUGUAAGGCAAAACAGGUUGCUUCGUAGUUAUCUCCAAAUACCGUAGACUAAUCAAUUUUCUUAAUCCUUUGGGCAAUGCUUCCAACUCCUCGCAUCCCGAAACAUCCAAGAAUUGCAAAUUUUGGAGCUUGCAAAUAGAAUUGGGGAGUCUCUUGAUGUUGCGAUUAUUCUGAAUGCUGAAAUAUCUCAAGUGUUUCAACUUACCAAUGGAACGUGGCAAAGUCUUGCAUGUCGAAUCAAUUAAAUCCAAAACUCGCAAUAAUUUGAACUUUGACACACAGGUAUUUAGCAAAGAUUCAACGCUGCCUCCUUCUGCACCAUUUGGAAACAUUAUGGUUCUCACAGCUAUCGAUUUUGAGGUGAAUGAAUUUCCAAGACAAUUAUACUCAGCAAAAGACAGAUGCCGAAUAUUCUCAGGAAUAUUUUGAAUGUGGGAAUUUACAACUAGACACUCCUCUUUUGCAACAAAUACAGCAAGAUCAUGCACCAAAUCAUGAAUUUUAAAUUCAUAAAAAGUGCCACCAUCGAUAAAAUCUUGAAGGAAAGAUCUUGACAGUAAUUCAUCCAGAUACUGUUUGGCAACAUCUUCCGGUGUCUCAUUCUUUCUUGGUGGUGCAAGGACACCAAGUGCCUCCCAAAGCCUAGCUACCUCAACACUAUCAAAUUCAUAAUCCUUUGGGUAAAGUGAAAACAAUGCAAAAAAUUGCCUCAAAUAGGAAGGCAAGAAAUCAUAACUUAAUUUAAGUGCAGGUAAAAUGUCAUCUUUAUUUUGUGGCAAAUUCCAAAUUUCAUUGUCUCUCACAUAUUCCCACUCAUUUGCCUCAAACUUUGAAAAUAGUAAACUCCCCAAUGUUCUCACAGCCAAUGGAACCCCUUUGCAUUUGUUCACAAUUUCUUUUCCGAUAUUUACCAAAUGAGGAUGUUUUUCCUCUUCGCCUUCGUUUUUGAAUGCCCAUUUGACAAAAAGAGACAAUGAAUUCUUCGGAGAAAGGCUUUGUAACUUGUAAGAGGCAACAGUCCCCAUCAUGGAAGCAAUGGAAUCAAUACGUGUAGUCACUAGAAUUUUACUUCCUGCAGCAACCCCUACCUUUAUUAAAUUCUUCAGAUCAACCCAUCUAACACGGUCAUCAUUCCAUACGUCAUCCAAGACAAGUAAGAAUUUUUUACCGGCAAGUCUGCUUCUCAAUUGAUUUUGUAAUUGCUCCAGAUCGACCAUGUCUAAAUUUUGUUGGCGAAGAGGAGCAUCAGCAACAUUCGCAGAAUUGAUGAUUUUGAUAAUGAGUUGGUUAAUGUCAAAGUCAUCAGAAACACACACCCACAUCUUCAAUGGGAAACACCCGUCUAUCCUCUUAUCGUUAAACACAAACUUUGCAAGUGUAGUUUUUCCCAAGCCUCCAAUCCCCACAAUGGGGAUAACAGAGAGACUCUUUUCGUCAUCAUUGGGAUUCUGCUGCAUCAAAAGCUCUAUGAUCUUUUCUUUAUCAUGUUCCCUUCCUAUCACAUCUGAGUCACUCACACGGGAGUGUGUCAUGCGACUCGUGUCUCUCCUAUGAACAACUCGUGUGUCAACAUCAAUUAUUCGGAGACCAAACUUAUGCCUAUCAGCUGCAACCUUGUCUAGCCUCUUGCUGACAUCUUUGAUUUGUUGAGCCAUCUUGGAACGAAAAACAAGUGGAUUAGAACUUGAGAAGAAGUGGCUUACCUCGUCUUUGAUGGUACCAUGAGCUUUGAGCACUUGCUUUCGCAGUGUUUGGCAUUCGAAUUCAUCCAACACAUCUUCGGCGUCAUAGAAGACACUUUUGAGCUGCCUCAGCCAUUCCUGCAGCUCAUGGUUAUGCUCCUGCUUUUGCUCAGCAUCUAACAGCACUGCCUUGACAUAUGAGAGAGUCUUUUUAAGGUCUCGGAGAUGGUCGUACAAACCCACCACCCGAGAAGCUUCUUGGAAAGCAUGAGAAGCAAGCUUUGUUAUGAGAGACUCAGCGAUGCUGAAGAUAAAUGAUUCAGCCAUGGUUUGUGUUAUCAGGAAUUCCAACACCAGAGAUCGG
rnacentral:lncRNA from 1 species